rnacentral:lncRNA from 1 species
UGUUCAAGCUCGACCGGCAAGUGACAUGCUUUACCAAACACAAGCCUAUAAGAUGACAUUCCUAAAUUAGUUUUGAAGGCAGUACGAGCAUCCACUAGCUUCAAUGUCCAAUCUUUUCUAUUGGUGCUCACAGUCUUCUCUAAAAUUUAUUUGAUUUGAUGAUUUGAAACCUCUACUUGCCUACUAAUUUGUGGAUGAUAGGGUGUGGCCAAUUUAUGG